GAUGAAGAACGUAGCGAAAUGCGAUAAGUAAUGUGAAUUGCAGAAUCCAGUGAAUCAUCGAAUCUUUGAACGCACAUUGCGCCCGCCAGUAUUCUGGCGGGCAUGCCUGUUCGAGCGUCAUUUCAACCCUCAAGCCCAGCUUGGUGUUGGGGAUCGGCACAGGCGCCCUCGGGCGCCCGCCGUCCCCUAAAUCUAGUGGCGGUCCCGCUGCAGCCUCCUCUGCGUAGUAGUUUUCUCCUCGCAAGGGCAGCUCGGUGGCGACCUCGCCGUAAAACCCCCAACUUCUGAAAGGUUGACCUCGAAUCAGGUAGGAAUACCCGCUGAACUUAAGCAUAUCAAUAAGCGGAGGA
rnacentral:misc_RNA from 1 species